rnacentral:rRNA from 1 species
AGUUGGUCUGAGAGGACGACCAGCCACACUGGGACUGAGACACGGCCCAGACUCCUACGGGAGGCAGCAGUGGGGAAUUUUGGACAAUGGGCGNAAGCCUGAUCCAGCAAUGCCGCGUGAGUGAAGAAGGCCUUCGGGUUGUAAAGCUCUUUCAGUCGAGAAGAAAAAAUUAUGACUAAUAAUCAUAGUUCAUGACGGUAUCGACAGAAGAAG